GGUUCUGAACCUAAUAUUAUAAGAUUUUUAGAAAAUGAGAACGAUUAACACUUAGUACUUAAAGAAAAAGAAAAGGAGAUUUAUUUGCUUUCUUAGAAAUUUUUAAUAUACAAACAACCUUCUUUGUAUACUUGAUAAUAGUCCUGUUCGGUAAAGCGGACAGCGGAGGAGGUAAGACGACAUUUUGAAGAUACACCAUCUCUACUGACUCAGGAACUUGAGCUUCAAGAUCUGGAAAUAAGGAUAAGUAUGAAAAAUAAAGAAUGUUUUGAAUCUGAUUUAGCAUCUUUAAAAAAGGCAUUCAGAAUAGAAUUUCAAAAUGCUCAAAACGAGCGAGUAUUUGACGCACAGCUCAAGCAAAUUAUAAAAAAGAAAAAGAAGAAUUUAGAAAGAGUUUUGAGGGCUUAGAAAGUUUAACCAAAAACGUUUUGGAGCUUAGUCGGCUUAUAAAGCAAUGUGAAGCACUAAAAUUAAGCAAUUAUCUAAAAAUUCUAGCCAAAGAAAGCAUUCUCCUGCAAGAACAAAAUCACAACCUGGUAGUUUAGCUGGAAAGGCAACCCCAACUCGGAAAUGAGUUGGUUUCUCUAAAAAGGUGGCAUCAGCAAAUGCCCAGUCUUGUAGAGAUAUAACUAAUGAUGUUCUUCUAGAAUAUCUUCAAUCUUUAGAGGCAGAAAACCGUGAACAGGUUGAGCAGUUGAACAAGGUGAAAUCCCAAAUCGAGCAUUUAAAAAUUCGACUGGAAGAAUUAGAAAAUGACUUAACUGAGAUAAAAAGGGUCUUGUGCGUAGCAGUAAAAGAUCUUAGCGAUUGCCGUUAUUUGUUCUCUUAGGGACUUGUUUCUAAAGAUUUAAAGCUUAUUUCUAUUAUCAAGAACGGAGUACAGCACGGUUGCAAGUGUUUCUGCGUACCGAGAAAGAAGCUAUAAAGGUUCAUUUUCAGUCCUACGAAGAAGAACUAAAGACCUUACACCGGCACAGCCGAGACUUCGACUAUACUUUGUUUAAGCAAAGAGAAUCCAUUUUAGAGGUGUCUCUGGAAAGAUCCUGUUUAGAAAAUGAAACUUUAAAAAAGGAAUUGGAGGGAAAAAACGCUUGAAGUAGAGCGCUUUCGAGCAGAAAUUUCUCCUACCAGCGCAGAAUUAAUACG